AUGAAAAUACGAUUGUUUCAUUUCCUCCCCUCCCUUCCUACCACCUGGAUGGAUGCUCUUGCCUGGCUGUGGCCACAGCAGAGAGCCACUCUGUCGAUGUCGGGGUGCAUGACGCUUGCUGCCCGUUUACUAGGCUGCGGCUGGUAGUAGACCUGCAAGUCCCGCGAAUUGGUUGUUUUGGCAAAUUCACAAAACCCCUUGUGGAGCCCAGGCAGUGUUUCAGAAGCGGAGCACGUAAAAAGUGUCCUAAGAAAGCAUGUGUGUUGCCAGAGGUUUUAAGGUGUGCUCUUCCCUCUCUGGGCAAAGGCACCUUUUAUAAACAGGUCGGCCUGGGCUCCUGCCACUCUGCCUCGUCUCCAAGCUCCACGCACCAUUUUCCAUGUAACAUCCCGACCAAAAUCCCGUUCUCUCGCAUCAGUGGAGAGUCACUGCAGAGCAACCAAAAGAAUCUGUGUGAACAUUUCGAUCCCCAGCGGCGCCUGGCCAGCUAGGAGCCCCUGCCCUGAGCUGGACACCCUCACAUGCCUGGUUUCUUCCUAACGGAGGAGCAGGGAGAGGGGGGGUCCAGAGAAGCCAGACGUUGCUGGGCCACCGACGGCAUUUCAGAUACAAACCACACUAGGUUCUAGUUAAUUGGACAUUUCUCUUUCUCAAGAAUAACAUUUUUAAAAAAAAAAACAAUUAAGAAACUCAUCUGGAAAGUAUGGUCUAUUUUUGGUUUCUUAGGAAGUAUGCUCCCAGAAUCUUCUCUGCUGUUCCCGGAUCUUGGAAGCCCUUCCCGCAUGCCGACUCCACUUUCCGGGUUCUUCUCUUCUGAGUCCAUGUCAGCUGUGCUUCCGACCCCUCCCCUCCACUGAAUCUGCCCUUAUGAAAGCCAGCCACACUGGCCACU